rnacentral:tRNA from 1 species
ACCUACUUAGUAUAAAAGUAUAUUUGGCUUCCAACCAAAAGGUCUGAACUCCAGAGUAGGUA